rnacentral:rRNA from 1 species
UACGUAGGGGGCAAGCGUUGUCCGGAAUCAUUGGGCGUAAAGAGCGUGUAGGCGGCCCGAUAAGUCCGCUGUGAAAGUCCAGGGCUCAACCCUGGGAUGCCGGUGGAUACUGUCGGGCUCGAGUCCGGAAGAGGAGUGUGGAAUUCCUGGUGUAGCGGUGAAAUGCGCAGAUAUCAGGAGGAACACCAAUGGCGAAGGCAGCACUCUGGGACGUGACUGACGCUGAGACGCGGAAGCGUGGGGAGCAAACAGG